rnacentral:tRNA from 1 species
GUGAUCGGCUAGGGGAGUCCAUUCCCUUCCUGCAUGGUGGGGUGAGCAAGACGGGGCGUGAUGCGAUGGUGGAGCGUUUCCAGUCCGAUGAUG